rnacentral:rRNA from 1 species
AGGAUAAACGCUGGCGGCGUGCCUAAUACAUGCAAGUCGAGCGGCAGCGCGGUCUUCGGACUGGCGGCGAGCGGCGGACGGCUGAGUAACACGUAGGAACGUACCCCAAAGUGAGGGAUAAGCACCAGAAAUGGUGUCUAAUACCGCAUGUGCUCUAAGGAGUAAAGCUUCGGCGCUUUGGGAACGGCCUACGCAUGAUUAGCUUGUUGGUGAGGUAAUGGCUCACCAAGGCGACGAUCAUUAGCUGGUCUGAGAGGAUGAUCAGCCAGACUGGGACUGAGAACGGCCCAGACUCCUACGGGAGGCCGCAGUAGGGAAUUUUCCACAAUGGGCGAAAGCCUGAUGGAGCAACGCCGCGUGCAGGAUGAAGGCCUUAGGGUUGUAAACUGCUUUUAUGUGUGACGAAUAUGACGGUAGCAUAUGAAUAAGGAUCGGCUAACUCCGUGCCAGCAGCCGC